GGUGAGACACGGAAAAGACAGUCAAGUCCUCGCAGUUAACCAGCUUCUUCAUCAUUCUGAGAGGAGCUGAACGUCUGAGUGAUCCGCUGACCUGCACGCCGGACAGUUUCCAGGUAAAAAAAAAGAAAAGAAAAAAAGACCCAAUCAAAAACACCUGUUGCGUCCGGCUGACCUGUGAUUAUCAGCGCAACCCGCAGUGCUCAGUAUCAUUAACCAGGUACCAACAGCUCGGUACCCGCACACAGACCUGCUUGCACUUGUGAGCUCCGCGUUAUUUGUGUUUGUGAGCCAGCAGGUACAGGAAGAGCACGCGCGCUUCCCCCUGGACACCAAACGCCCGCCUCUGACCGCAGAGAGAUUCCCGCCUGCAGAACUUGUGUUAUCCGCACAGCUGGAAACUUUGCCUGGGAAUUUCUGUGCUCAAAAAUUUCAGUCAUUGUUUCUGGUCGUGUGUGUAACUUCCCAUCCCGGCCUUUAGCGCAGGGCUGCCUGCCACAUGGUUUGGAGGGAUUUCUUUAAAUCAUCUGUUUUAAAUCUGGGCUGCAUAAUUGAACUAUUUUACACAGCAGAGUCAACAUCAGUGUGACCAUUGUAUAAUUUGAUUUGUAUUAAAGCAGGACUACAACCUAACAGCCGCAUGCUGGUGGGCCUGACCUCUUCAUGCAUCUGCUGUCCGAGCAGGGUCUGAUCUCCAGAGGAUUUCAGCGGUUCCUUUAAGAACAUUGCCCAAACUGAAGCCGAUCACCUGUCCACAGAAGCAGCCACUUUUCUGGCUAUUCAGGUGUAGCUUCCAGUAGUUCAGUUGUGACAUAUCCCAUGGAGGGCAUGGCAGUGGUGUUACCACUUGCAGACAAACCUUCAGUAUUUCAGGUGUAGUUUCUUGAAGUCGAAGGUUUUCAAGAUGACUCAUAAAAAUCCAGAGGUUUUGAGCAGUUUCUGCCUUUGGAAACUCAAAACCUGUACUACAGGUAAAUCUGUGGUUACAUGUGCGAAGGUCAGAGGUCACUUGAGGUUUCAAACAUUCUGCAUUACGGGAUCUGCCACUUCAGGCGGGCCCCAGAGGGGGCUACUGCGGGAGGUGCUGUCAGAGUGAAACUAAGUUGAUUGAAUAUCAUGACCAAUAAACUGUGACCUUUAACACUAAAAUCCCCCCUGUAUUCUUAUUAAUGACUGAAGCUGUGGGAUGUAGUGGGCAUGGCAGGUGAGAUCUGACUGGCCUACAGCUUCACAAAUUCAUGGUGUAAAUGCUGAUGCAAUUUAUUACAUUUUGAGAUGCUACAAGUAAAAGCAACUUAUUAAAUUCAUUUUACUUAAAAAAAAAAAGUCCAACAUGUUGAUUCAUGAUUGGUAGAUUGCAUAAAGCCCUCGAUCAAAGAAAACAGACAACACAUGAAACCAAAGUCACAUCUGAAGCACAACAUACACAAAUACACGUCACUGUGAUCUGUACCCUCGCCAACUGGAAGCAUGUCCACUAGGUGGUGCUCUCAUCAAAGAAUAAAUUAGACCCACCUCAGUGGGUGCGCCAGCUCUGCUACAACCACAACUUUAACCGCCCCCCCCCCAAUUUGUAAAGUCCCUGAAAAACAACACGUAUAUGGCACAGAUCCCAUUCAGCAAGUCGCACGUACUAUAAUUCAAUGAUGGUUGCACGUUUGUUCAACGCACUGCAGACGAGAGAAAAUGGUUUCUGCUAACAGCACGGGGGCUUGUUCUCCACGCAGAUUUA